rnacentral:tRNA from 1 species
AGAAGGGUGCCAGAGUCUGGUUUAUCGGACUUGUCUUGAAAACAAGCGGCGAUGCUGAGUCGUCCGUGGGUUCAAAUCCCACCCCUUCUGCCA